rnacentral:rRNA from 1 species
CCAUGGCGCAUGCUAUACAUGCAGUCGAGCGGACAGAUGGGAGCUUGCUCCCUGAUGUCAGCGGCGGACGGGUGAGUAACACGUGGGUAACCUGCCUGUAAGACUGGGAUAACUCCGGGAAACCGGGGCUAAUACCGGAUGCUUGAUUGAACCGCAUGGUUCAAUUAUAAAAGGUGGCUUUUAGCUACCACUUACAGAUGGACCCGCGGCGCAUUAGCUAGUUGGUGAGGUAACGGCUCACCAAGGCAACGAUGCGUAGCCGACCUGAGAGGGUGAUCGGCCACACUGGGACUGAGACACGGCCCAGACUCCUACGGGAGGCAGCAGUAGGGAAUCUUCCGCAAUGGACGAAAGUCUGACGGAGCAACGCCGCGUGAGUGAUGAAGGUUUUCGGAUCGUAAAACUCUGUUGUUAGGGAAGAACAAGUACCGUUCGAAUAGGGCGGUACCUUGACGGUACCUAACCAGAAAGCCACGGCUAACUACGUGCCAGCAGCCGCGGUAAUACGUAGGUGGCAAGCGUUGUCCGGAAUUAUUGGGCGUAAAGCGCGCGCAGGCGGUUUCUUAAGUCUGAUGUGAAAGCCCCCGGCUCAACCGGGGAGGGUCAUUGGAAACUGGGGAACUUGAGUGCAGAAGAGGAGAGUGGAAUUCCACGUGUAGCGGUGAAAUGCGUAGAGAUGUGGAGGAACACCAGUGGCGAAGGCGACUCUCUGGUCUGUAACUGACGCUGAGGCGCGAAAGCGUGGGGAGCGAACAGGAUUAGAUACCCUGGUAGUCCACGCCGUAAACGAUGAGUGCUAAGUGUUAAAGGGUUUCCGCCCUUUAGUGCUGCAGCAAACGCAUUAAACACUCCGCCUGGGGAGUACGGUCGCGAGACUGAAACUCAAAGGAAUUGAAUGGUGGCCCGCGCCAGCGUUGGCACCUUGUGGUUUAGAUUCUAAUCCUCGCC